CCCUUUCACCUACGGAUGAGCAUCCAACAACAGCAGCAGAGGAUUGAAGUGUGGUAGGGGUAGAAACAUCCAGUCCAACAAAGCCUGAAAGUCACGUUUAUGAUUCAAAGCCUCCACGGUGAAAUGUUGACAUGAGAGUUGGUUAGAGUGGGCGAUGCCUCGUGAUUACGAGCAUUGCCUGGAAUGUACGAGGCGACGGAGGUUGUAGGGUUGAAGAGUAAGGCUUCCGUACGUCCACUUUCUACGUAAGAACCAUCCGUUGAUACAAUGGUUGCUCCUAAUGACAUUAGCAAAGCAUCGUGAGAUAGAGCCUUACCUUCUUCGCGGCAAGCUUGUGGAGCUUCGGAAGCUCGCUGCGCAAUGCAGCUUUGGUCCGACGGAGAUCCGCAUUGAGUGUGGCUAUGACAGCUCGGUUUUUUUCAGACUCCGCCUCGGCAGCUUUCUACAUACAGUGCCUUCGCAAGGGAGAUAGGUGCGGACUGAAGUAAGGGGGAAAAAGUCGGCUUUUCAGUCGCUUUGGUCACAUUUUACGCAACAGAUUGUGGCAGUCAGCAGCAGGUAAGUACUGACAGGGUUCUUGGUACGACUGAUAAGUCAAUUGACUGGAUUAUAACAAUCACAUGGUGGAAAAUUAUACAGUUCUGGUGCAGAACUUAAUGCGAAGCAAGAGUAGUAAGAAACAGGAGGAUUUACAAAAACGGUUUAGGCA